rnacentral:rRNA from 1 species
UACGUAGGGUGCAAGCGUUAAUCGGAAUUACUGGGCGUAAAGCGUGCGCAGGCGGUUGUGCAAGACAGAUGUGAAAUCCCCCGGGCUUAACCUGGGAAUUGCAUUUGUGACUGUACGGCUAGAGUGUGUCAGAGGGGGGGUAGAAUUCCACGUGUAGCAGUGAAAUGCGUAGAGAUGUGGAGGAAUACCGAUGGCGAAGGCAGCCCCCUGGGAUAACACUGACGCUCAUGCACGAAAGCGUGGGGAGCAAACAGG